UUGACCAAAGACAAACAAAUCUGUGCUAACGAGCAGAAUAUUUGAUAUGACGUAUCUUAGUGCUGAAUCUGUCUGAAAUGUAAUGGGGGGGGGGAAUAGACAAGUUUCAAAACAUUGAUGUCCAAAUCCCAAAAUAAAGUUUGACGGGAAUAGCAGUCAUUUCCUUUGAUAGAAUAGGAAAUAACACUUACUGACCAAAGACAGAAAAAAAAAAGGGUUUGUUACACAGUGGAAUUAUUAAGGCUGUGAGCUGAGGGAAUCCUUACUGUUUUCCAGGCAAAAUUUCUUCCAGCAUUUUUUUUUACAUUCUGAGUUCACGUUAACAAAAUCAACUUUGUCCUUCGUUGUUUUGGGGAUUAAUAACAUAAGUGCCGGUCAAACACCGGGGUUAAUUAGUUUGACCAGCUACCUUCCCCUAAAAUUACUGGCCUUGUACCAAAAUUUGAGACCAUUAUUAUAAGGUGGCAAGUUGGCCGAAUCCUUAGCAACUCAGAAAAGUGCUCAGCGGCGCCACCAAGGUCGAUGAAUAAGUACCAGUUGAUAAUCAACUAGCCUUGUUCCUGUUAUAGAAAAAUUGGAGAGGGGGCCAGUUAAUUAGAUCAACCCUAGUAUGCAACUGGUACUUAAUUUAUCGACCCCUAAAGGAUGAAAGACAAAGUCAACCUCGGCAGAAUUUGAACUCAGAACGUAAAGACAGACGAAAUACCGCCAAGUAUUUCGCCCGGCAUGCUAAUGUUUUUGCCAGCCCACCCACCUUAUUAAGGUAGCAAAAGACGGCAGAAUCGUUAGCACACUGGACGGAACGCUCAGUGGUAUUUCGCCAGUCGCUACAUUCUGGGGCCAACGUUGCCUUUCCUCCUUUUGGGGUCAGUAAAUUAAGUACCAGUGAAACACUGGGGUUGAUAUAAUCGACUAGUUGGCCCUGCCACAAAUUUGAGGCCCUGUGCCUCCAGUAGAAGGGAUUAUUCAGGUUGAAUCAUUAGCAACUUGAACAUCUGAGUUCAAAUUCUGCCAUAGAUGACUUCCAUCCUUUUGGGGUCAAUAUAAUCAACUAACCCCGUCCCCUAAAAUUUCAGGCUUUGUGCCUACAGUAGAAAGGAUUGUUGUUGUUGACAUCCAUCAGAUUAAAAUUCUACUCCUAAGUUAUUUUUUUUAUUUUUUCAUCCCUUCGUCCCACACACAUUUAGGGCCUCCUACCUCUGAUCUGAUAGAAGCUGUGGCGGUUGUUGUUAGGGGCCUGGAUUAAGAGAAUCAUUAGUGUGUUGGACAAAAAGGCCUUACAUUUGCAGAUUUUUAACUUUCAGGCCUGGGUUCAAAUCCUGCCAAGGACAGCAACCGUCUUUCAUUCAGCCCAAAGAGAUGAUGACGAUAGUGGUGGAGGGUGGGGCUCAAUAAAAUGGAGUACCAGUCAAGUAUUGAGGUCAAUGUAAUUAACCUUUCUCCUCCUAUCCUCCCUCCUGUACCCCCCCCCCAAGUUUUCUGGUCUUGUGACCCCCUGUUAAAAUUUAAUUGUUGUUGUUAGCAUCCCUUAUCUUCUGCUGCCAACGCUAUCCAACCUUGUCUUAACAAGGGACUAGUUCCUUGCCUUCGGUAAGACCCACAUACCCCCACCACUCUCUCUCCUCUCCCCCCCUCUCUCACACACACACACACAUACAUGUGCGUCUCUGUUGCCCAGCCUUUAACUAACCUCAUCAUCACUUCCUACCAUGCCCACCCCUUAACAAGAAAAAACGAGCAAUCUAUUUUCAUUGUUUAUAUUUUUUUCCUCAUUGCUGUUUUUGUUGUUGUUGUUGCUGUUACUAUUACUAUUAUUAUUACAAUUUAUUGUGGAUCUUAAUUUCAAUAUUACCAGAUUUUAAAAAAAAUUUUGUUGUUUCUCCCAUUUGUUUUUAUUUCUUUUUACUCUUUAUUUAUUUACAUUUUUGUAUGCCCCCCACCCACCACCCCCAUCAUCAUAUGCAACUCCUCAACUUCCAUCUACAGGUUCCUCCUUGCUUACACACACACACACACACACACACUAACAUGCAUACACACUCACUCACACACACAUAUGUAUGUAUACACACAUCAUCAAGAUAGCCCCCUAACUGAACGUUUGGAUAUGCUAGAAAGUACAGCCAAACCUCUCCUCCAAAUCUCACCCCCCCCUCCCUCACAAUGGGUUACACAAGAAAGGGUGCAUAAUUCUGCCUAUGCUAUGUCUGUAAAUCAAACAAAGAAAAAUGUAGCGCUGGCCAUGGUUGGGAAUGUCUUUGAUCAUUAUGUCCACUGGAUCACGACUGAAAUGGGGCUAAUCUACUACUACUACUACUAUAGAAUAGUGCUUGGAAAAGGAGAAAUAGAGUUUACUGGGUUUAGAAUAAGUGCAAGGAUUGAGUGUGGUGCUAAUGUUUGAAGGCAACCUGGUUGGCGGUGGUGGUGCCGAUGGUUGAGGGAUUGGAGUGUGGCACACAUCAGAAGAGCAUCGUAUAGGGAAAGA
rnacentral:lncRNA from 1 species